CGCGUAGACGGUUUUGUAAGUCAGAUGUGAAAUCCCUGGGCUCAACCUGGGAACUGCAUUUGAAACUGCAUGGCUAGAGUAUGGUAGAGGGAAGUGGAAUUUCCGGUGUAGCGGUGAAAUGCGUAGAUAUCGGAAGGAACACCAGUGGCGAAAGCGACUUCCUGGGCCAAUACUGACGUUCAUGUGCGAAAGCGUGGGGAGCAAACAGGAUUAGAUACCCUGGUAGUCCACGCCAUAAACGAUGACAACUAGAUGUUGGGGGGGGUCUGCCUCCCGGUGUCGCAGCUAACGCGUUAAGUUGUCCGCCUGGGGAGUACGGCCGCAAGGUUGAA
rnacentral:rRNA from 1 species